AUAUCAGUCAUGCAUAGCAUAUCAAUAAGCGGAGGAAAAGAAACUAACAAGGAUUCCCUUAGGUAACGGCGAGUGAAGCGGGAAGAGCUCAAAUUUGAAAUCUUCAAGGUUUUACCUUGACGAAUUGUAGUUUAAAGAAGUGUUUUCUGUUGAAGUUUUGGUAAAAGUUCUUUGGAAUAGGACAUCAUAGAGGGUGAGAAUCCCGUAUUUGACCAUUACUUUCAGCUUUGUGAUACACUUUCAAAGAGUCGGAUUGUUUGGGAAUGCAGUCCAAAAUGGGUGGUAAAUUUCAUCUAAAGCUAAAUAUUGGCGAGAGACCGAUAGCGAACAAGUACCGUGAGGGAAAGAUGAAAAGAACUUUGAAAAGAGAGUUAAACAGUGACGUGAAAUUGUCAAAAGGGAAGCGUUUGACACCAGUGUUGUUUUCUCGAAAAUCAAUUAAAAAGAGUUGGAUUUUGUGUUGUAUUGACUUUAUCAGGCUUUCUUCACUCUUUUCCAGCUUUUUUUAAUGCACUUUUCGUUUAACAAGUCAACAUCAGUUUCUUUUGUUGUAAAAAGGUCAUUGGAAGGUGGCUUUCUCUUCGGAGAAAGUGUUUAUAGCCUUUGACUCAUGCAAUCGGAGAGACUGAGGUCUGCAGCGUAGAUCCUUCGGGGUUAGAUACAUUUGUGCUAAGUUAUAGCUUUUCAUAGACAACUUGUUGACUAUGUUUAGUCUUGUAGCUUACUCGCUUAUGCUAUUUUACCUACGCUUAGGAUGUUGAACUCUAUCACACACAG
rnacentral:rRNA from 1 species